AGGGUGACAGCCCCGUACACAAAAAUGCACAUGCUGUGAGCUCGAUGAGUAGGGCGGGACACGUGGUAUCCUGUCUGAAUAUGGGGGGACCAUCCUCCAAGGCUAAAUACUCCUGACUGACCGAUAGUGAACCAGUACCGUGAGGGAAAGGCGAAAAGAACCCCGGCGAGGGGAGUGAAAAAGAACCUGAAACCGUGUACGUACAAGCAGUGGGAGCACGCUUCGGCGUGUGACUGCGUACCUUUUGUAUAAUGGGUCAGCGACUUAUAUUCUGUAGCAAGGUUAACCGAAUAGGGGAGCCGAAGGGAAACCGAGUCUUAACUGGGCGUUAAGUUGCAGGGUAUAGACCCGAAACCCGGUGAUCUAGCCAUGGGCAGGUUGAAGGUUGGGUAACACUAACUGGAGGACCGAACCGACUAAUGUUGAAAAAUUAGCGGAUGACUUGUGGCUGGGGGUGAAAGGCCAAUCAAACCGGGAGAUAGCUGGUUCUCCCCGAAAGCUAUUUAGGUAGCGCCUCGUGAAUUCAUCUCCGGGGGUAGAGCACUGUUUCGGCAAGGGGGUCAUCCCGACUUACCAACCCGAUGCAAACUGCGAAUACCGGAGAAUGUUAUCACGGGAGACACACGGCGGGUGCUAACGUCCGUCGUGAAGAGGGAAACAACCCAGACCGCCAGCUAAGGUCCCAAAGUCAUGGUUAAGUGGGAAACGAUGUGGGAAGGCCCAGACAGCCAGGAUGUUGGCUUAGAAGCAGCCAUCAUUUAAAGAAAGCGUAAUAGCUCACUGGUCGAGUCGGCCUGCGCGGAAGAUGUAACGGGGCUAAACCAUGCAC
rnacentral:rRNA from 1 species